GUCUAAAUCAGGUCUAAACCAGGACUAAAACACUGUAGAAUAUAGGUCUAAACCAGGACUAAACCAGGACUAAAACACUGUAGAAUAAGGGUCUAAAUCAGGUCUAAACCAGGACUAAACCAGGAUUACACCAGGACUAAAACGCUGUAGAAUAUAGGUCUAAACCAGGUGUAAACCAGGACUAAACCAGGACUAAAACACUGUAG